ACUCCUACGGGAGGCAGCAGUGGGGAAUAUUGCACAAUGGGGGAAACCCUGAUGCAGCCAUGCCGCGUGUGUGAAGAAGGCCUUGGGUUGUAAAGCACUUUCAGUAGGGAGGAAGGUAGUGUAGUUAACACCUGCAUUAUUUGUACGUUACCUACAGAAGAAGCACCGGCUAACUCCGUGCCAGCAGCCGCGGUAAGUACGGAGGGUGCGAGCGUUAAUCGGAAUUACGUGGGCGUAAAGCGCAUGCAGGCGGCCUGUUAAGUCAGAUGUGAAAGCCCGGGGUCUUAACCGUCGGAAUUGCAUUUGAAACUGGCGAGGCUAGAGUCUUGGUAGGAGGGGGUUAGAAUUUCGAGGUGUAGCGGUGAAAUGCGUAGAGA
rnacentral:rRNA from 1 species